UUUGAACCUAUAACGGAGAAAAGUAAUUAGGAUUACACAUGGAUAGAGAGGAAAUGCCAUAGGCUGAAAGCAUUUCUCUAUGAUGACUUAAUGAAGAACACUCAAGAGGUUCCACUCUGAAAUAAACUAUAGUAGGAGCUGGACGUGUCAGGCGUUAUCUGAACAAAGUGGAAAAGCAUAUGGAUUUAAUUUUUUUGCUUUUCAACUAGGGUGGCACCACGGGUAAACUCUCGUCCCUACA
rfam:Bacillus azotoformans LMG 9581 contig111, whole genome shotgun sequence.